UUAUAAUGAUGUUAUUGCCAUGCUAAUACCGAGGGAUCAUAUAUACGGGAACCGUAUAUUUGGAUUUCGCUGAGUUAAACUUUCCAUGUCUCUGAAUAAU
rfam:Cerapachys biroi unplaced genomic scaffold scaffold122, whole genome shotgun sequence.